AUAAUAUGCGGUUUCGGUUUGAUUACAGUCUCUAGCAGAACUGAUAAGACUGUGUGGGUGGAAAAAGCACCAUUGAAACAAGGAGGAUCUGACACACCGAGCAGUGAUCUGUGAAGACAAGUAACUGGAGGGAAUGUGAAAAGAUAAAACAUUUACCUUACCUAAGGUGCCACUGGCAAUUUUUAAAUCCACAACAAAGAUGACAAAAACUAGUUUUGUGUCUGUAAAGUUGUAACACCUUUUGUUAAAGGCCAUGGAUGUAGGAAGCAUUGGAAAUGCAGCUCAAAUGUAGCCAAGGAAAGAUGUCAGUAUUACUUCACCCCUGAGAAAAUGCAACAUGGUCUAUAUGAGCUGGUUUUGUGUUGGCCGUAAGGGUAAUGAGUUUGUAUUAUCAGAAAAUUGCUUAUUAAUGUUCCCUUGGAGGCUUUUCAUCAGUAAAGGUGGUUGAGGCCCAAGGUUUCUACACCGAUGCAGUGUCAUAGAUGGAAUACGUAACAGCCUUGCUGUUACAUUUUUAGUCUCUUUUAGAUCUAAAGCAAAGUUGCUAAAAGAUUAGCUUUCACUAUCAUGUGUACCUCCAAGCAUCUUCAUGUGUGAUGAACCAUGUCUCUAGGUUAAAUAAUAAAUGAGGUUGUUUACAGA